AUACCUUACCUGGCAGGGGAGAUACCAUGAUCACGAAGGUGGUUUUCCCAGGGCGAGGCUUAUCCAUUGCACUCCGGAUGUGCUGACCCCUGCGAUUUCCCCCAAAUGUGGGAAACUCGACUGCAUAAUUUGUGGUAGUGGGGGACUGCGUUCCGCGCCUCUCCCCU
rnacentral:snRNA from 1 species